rnacentral:rRNA from 1 species
UACGUAGGGUGCAAGCGUUGUCCGGAAUUAUUGGGCGUAAAGAGCUCGUAGGCGGUUCGUCGCGUCGGCUGUGAAAACCUGAGGCUCAACCUCAGGCCUGCAGUCGAUACGGGCGGACUUGAGUACUGCAGGGGAGACUGGAAUUCCUGGUGUAGCGGUGAAAUGCGCAGAUAUCAGGAGGAACACCGGUGGCGAAGGCGGGUCUCUGGGCCACUACUGACGCUGGAGAAGCGGAAAGCAUGGGGAGCGAACAGG